AAAGUGGCGUCCUCCCUUCAAAAAUAGGUUUAUUCUUGCUUUUAUACGUUUUGGGUAGGUCUAUGACCGAAAUAACCUUUUCCCGGGCAAAAUAGGACGAAAUCCGCGUCAACGGUGCCCAGCUCGGUGCCAGGCGCCCACCAGGGCGCUCCAAUAUUUUACAUUUUGUUUCUGGCGCCACAGGCAGGUGGCGCCCAAAUUCACAAGUUUCCCGAUUUCGUUGGUGGCGCCCAAAUUCGCAAGUUUCCCGAUUUCGUUGGUUUUGGCUCAAAUCUUGUGCGUUUCGCCCCCAAUUGCUCCCGAAUCAUUUCUACACAUAAAAACACAUCAAAUUAACAUAAAUCAACACAUAUAACAUCCCAAAUUCACGAAACAAAAGUAAAAUAUGAGGCGAUACACAUAGAAAUAUAUAUGCUUUAAGCUAAACAUCGGUCAAAUUGAAUUCUUAAAUCCCUAAUUUCAAAUCCUAGUUAAAAUCUCAAAAUUGUCAUUAAAUAAAAGAAACUACUUACAUGCAAUACUUCAGAAUGCGUAACAUCAGAGUAAUCAGUAAUACAUAUAGAAAGAGAAUUGUGAAACGGAGCACCUAGAAUCCCAAUAACCAAAAAGAAAAAACAGCAAAAGGAAGGAAAAGCCAGAGAAGAAGAAGAGAGCACGAAAGACAAAAGGAAAUCAGCAAAAAAUCAAGAGUAAAUGUUGACGUGAAAGAGUAGGAAAAGUGGAAGUGGAAGACAGAUGUCCUACCAAAAUACACACAUGUCAGGAUAUUGAAGAGAGUGAAAGGGCUGAAAUUGGUAAAAAAAUACAAA
rnacentral:lncRNA from 1 species